UUCAAAUCCAGUUGGGGGAACGAAAAUGGCGUUGUAUGAACAGUCACUUGUCAUUGUCAAAUUGUCUGCCCAGAUAUGUGAGAAGUAAACACGUUCAUCCUCGUUAAAUUUGGAAAGUGACCAUUUGUUAAAAAUCCAGCUAGUUAGCGACCUGAACUGAAAAUGAUGUGUUUCUUGCGUAUCUUCUCUUCUAGAAUGUAAGCUAACUACGUAACAAUUUUUGUACCAGUAUUCCCAAAAGGUUCGGUAGUCUCGCGCAUACCAUCCAACACAGCAAGCUGAGCUCAUACGAAAGCAGCUUUAGUUGGCUUACUUGCUAGCUAAUCAACUAGUUGUCAAUACUGUUGAUGUUGUUAGCUGGCUAACAACUAGCCAAGUCAACGACCUGUGGCAAGUGAUAGCAAGGGAGAUUUUCCCAACUGAUGAGAAGAUGCAUAGGAAAGAGCUGGAAGACUUCAAAGAGCGGAUGCGAGACCGGAAGGAGCGGCGGCUACUGAAACGGAUGGCCUUGGAUGAGGCUGAGAAGGAGUGAGGAGGACAGUUCAGAGAGACAAUCAGAGUAGGACGAUGCCCAAUCAGAAGCCUUGUUGUUCCACAGGAGGGGGGAGCAGUUUCACUGUCAGGCCUGUGGACUGGAACAUGUUCCCUGUCACAAAAGGCACCCUAUUACCUAUUUAGUAUACUACUUUGACCAUUGCCCAUAGGGCUAUGGUAAAACGUAGUGCACUUUAUAGGAAAAGGGGUGCCAUUUGGGGUUGGAGAAUUUUGGAUGUCGUGGAGCAUGUAGGCUAUACUAUACACCCUUUGGGAGGGUGUGCUGGAGGGGGACCUUAAAGUUACCCCUUUGAACUGAAAAGUCUCACUGAAAAGCUUUUCAUGAAAUGCUUUAUUUCACCGCAGUCAAACCACAACUUGACUGUUGAUGAUCUGCUCUGUGAUGGUGUUGAUGUAAACCUUGUGUGUGUGAUUGUCUCAAAAGAUGUGUGAAUGAAAUAUGAGGACAGAAUCAUAUGGCUUGGAAUGUUAUUUAUUUUUUAUGAUUUAGAAUACAUGUCUUUUGUAAUCAUGUCUUUUGUAAUGUCCUUAAUUAAAGUUUAAAUGUCUCUUUGUUGAACCUCUUCAGUUUGUUUUGUGAUGACUUACUUAGUUUGGAAGAUGACCAUUCUGGUCUAGAAACAGUAUGAUGUCACAAAGCCCCUGUGUUGUGAUUUGGACCAUGAUGUGACAUGUCAUUUUAUUGCUGAGUCGUGUUCAGUUGGGAGAAAAUGUUUCGAAUCAGGCAGCUACUA